AUGUGCCUAGAGGUGGGGAAUAACUGUGGGAAACUACAGCUAAUACCGCAUAAGCCCUUCGGGGGAAAGAUUUAUCGCCUUUAGAUCAACCCGCGUCAGAUUAGCUAGUUGGUAGGGUAAUGGCCUACCAAGGCGACGAUCUGUAGCUGGUCUGAGAGGAUGAUCAGCCACACUGGGACUGAGACACGGCCCAGACUCCUACGGGAGGCAGCAGUGGGGAAUAUUGGACAAUGGGCGCAAGCCUGAUCCAGCCAUGCCGCGUGAGUGAUGACGGCCUUAGGGUUGUAAAGCUCUUUUAACAGGGACGAUAAUGACGGUACCUGUAGAAUAAGCCCCGGCUAACUUCGUGCCAGCAGCCGCGGUAAUACGAAGGGGGCUAGCGUUGUUCGGAAUCACUGGGCGUAAAGCGCACGUAGGCGGAUUGUUAAGUCGGGGGUGAAAUCCUGAGGCUCAACCUCAGAACUGCCUUCGAUACUGGCGAUCUUGAGUUCGGAAGAGGUUGGUGGAACAGCUAGUGUAGAGGUGAAAUUCGUAGAUAUUAGCUAGAACACCAGUGGCGAAGGCGGCCAACUGGUCCGAUACUGACG
rnacentral:rRNA from 1 species